rnacentral:rRNA from 1 species
CGCGGUAAUACAGAGGGUGCGAGCGUUAAUCGGAUUUACUGGGCGUAAAGCGUGCGUAGGCGGCUGAUUAAGUCGGAUGUGAAAUCCCUGAGCUUAACUUAGGAAUUGCAUUCGAUACUGGUCAGCUAGAGUAUGGGAGAGGAUGGUAGAAUUCCAGGUGUAGCGGUGAAAUGCGUAGAGAUCUGGAGGAAUACCGAUGGCGAAGGCAGCCAUCUGGCCUAAUACUGACGCUGAGGUACGAAAGCAUGGGGAGCAAACAGGAUUAGAUACCCUGGUAGUCCAUGCCGUAAACGAUGUCUACUAGCCGUUGGGGCCUUUGAGGCUUUAGUGGCACAGCUAACGCGAUAAGUAGACCGCCUGGGGAGUACGGUCGCAAGACUAAAACUCAAAUGAAUUGACGGGGGCCCGCACAAGCGGUGGAGCAUGUGGUUUAAUUCGAUGCAACGCGAAGAACCUUACCUGGUCUUGACAUAGUAAGAACUUUCCAGAGAUGGAUUGGUGCCUUCGGGAACUUACAUACAGGUGCUGCAUGGCUGUCGUCAGCUCGUGUCGUGAGAUGUUGGGUUAAGUCCCGCAACGAGCGCAACCCUCGCCCUUAGUUGCCAUCAUUCAGUUGGGCACUCUAAGGGGACUGCCGGUGAUAAGCCGCGAGGAAGGUGGGGAUGACGUCAAGUCCUCAUGGCCCUUACAGGUUGGGCUACACACGUGCUACAAUGGCGGUGACAGAGGGAAGCGGAGGAGUGAUCCCGAGCCAAUCUCAAAAAGCCGUCUCAGUUCGGAUUGCACUCUGCAACUCGAGUGCAUGAAGGUGGAAUCGCUAGUAAUCGCAGAUCAGCAUGCUGCGGUGAAUACGUUCCCGGGCCUUGUACACACCGCCCGUCACACCAUGGGAGUUGGUUUUACCCGAAGGCGUUUCGCCAACCGCAAGGGGGCAGACGACCACGGUAGGG